GAUGAACGCUGGCGGCGUGCCUAAUACAUGCCAGUCGAGCGAACAGACGAGGAGCUUGCUCCUCUGACGUUAGCGGCGGACGGGUGAGUAACACGUGGAUAACCUACCUAUAAGACUGGGAUAACUUCGGGAAACCGGAGCUAAUACCGGAUAAUAUAUUGAACCGCAUGGUUCAAUAGUGAAAGACGGUUUUGCUGUCACUUAUAGAUGGAUCCGCGCCGCAUUAGCUAGUUGGUAAGGUAACGGCUUACCAAGGCAACGAUGCGUAGCCGACCUGAGAGGGUGAUCGGCCACACUGGAACUGAGACACGGUCCAGACUCCUACGGGAGGCAGCAGUAGGGAAUCUUCCGCAAUGGGCGAAAGCUUGGCGGAGCAACGCCGCGUGAGUGAUGAAGGUCUUCGGAUCGUAAAACUCUGUUAUUAGGGAAGAACAAAUGUGUAAGUAACUAUGCACGUCUUGACGGUACCUAAUCAGAAAGCCACGGCUAACUACGUG
rnacentral:rRNA from 1 species